rnacentral:lncRNA from 1 species
UCCCUUCUUUUCUUUGCUUAUCCAAUAUUACUCACAUUUUGAGGCCUGUAACAAAUCCCCCCUCUUUCGUGACAUCUUUCACAGGUUCUCAGUGCUCCAGGUGCAAUUCUCGCUGCCACCAAUUAAUCGUGUGAUUCAUGGUGACCUUGAGGGAAACAACCUUCCUCAUUAAUCUUGGGAUCCCUGGUAUUUGUCAUAUGGCCCAGCAUGUAGGAAAGGAAGCUAAUUUUCGGCUCUCUGGUGUCUUGGAUCACCCUGAGGAAGAAACUAGAAGAGAAGUUGUAGAGGAUGGUAGUCACAGCAAAUAUCUCUCCUGGAAGAGGACCUGCAAACUGUGAUGGUGGGUGUUCGUCAGGAUCCUAGGGAGGAACAGGACUAAUAGGAUAUAUGUAUAUAUUCAAGGGAGUUUAUUAAGGAGAACUGACUUAUGUGAUCACAAGGUAAGGUCCCACAAUAGGCUGUCUACAAGCUGAAGAGCAAGGAAGCCUGUGGUGGAUUGGUCUGAAUCCCAACACUUCAAAAGUAGGGAAGCCAACAGUGCAGCCUUCAGUCUGUGGCCAAAGGCCGAACAGCUCUUGGCAAACCCCUGGUGUAAGUCCAAGAUUCCAAAAGCUGAAGAACUUGGAGUCUGGUGUUCGAGGGCAGGAAGCAUCCAGCAUGGGAGAAAGAUUACGGCCAGAAGACUCAGCAGGUCUGCUCUUCCGUCUUCUCCUGCCUGCUUUAUUCCAGCCUGGCUGGCAGCUGAUUAGAUGAUGUCUACCCAGAUGGAGGGUGGGUCUGCUGCUCGCAGUCCACUGACUCAAAUGUUAAUCUGCAUGGCAGCAUCCUCACGGGCACACCCAGGAACAAUACUUCAAAUCCUUCAGUCCAAUCAAGUUGACACUCAGUAUUAACCAUCACAGUGGGGGAGGGGCCACAGCUGCAAAACCUGCCGCGGAGAUCUACCAGCUCCUGAAGCUCCUGGUCACAGCCAGCAGAAGGCAUUUAGGGGUCAACUGAACACUGCCUCUAGAUCUGCCAGCAGCAGGACUUUGGCAUGCUUUUUUGUGAUAGUAAAAUUUUUGCUGUAAUUGAAACUGCUAUAGAAAAAGCAGGCCUUGGGACUCAAUUGUGCUGCAAUGAAAGAUCAUAAUUUUAAAAAACUCAAGUCUAAUAGAAACGAAGUAGGAGUGUAGGAUCUCACAAAAGCUCUAAUUUUGCAUAUAAAUAAGAUAGCAAAGCAGUUCUCUACAAAAAUACUUUCAUGCUAAUAAAAGAGAUUGUUUUACAAGGCAAAGAUUGCCAGUGACACAUUAAAAAUGAAGAAAUUAAAAAAUUUAUCAUAUGUCCAUUUUAUAGUUUCCAGGAUAGAGCCUAGAACCAUUCCUGACAGAAAGCAGGC